AAACUCACACCUCGUGAGAAACCCUAGAUAGGAAAAAAGAGUGUAGUCUAGCUCAAUCAAAUAAACAUUAAAGUAGUUCAAAGUUAUUACAUGCCAAGUUUGAGUUACACAUCUGAAUCACCAGGAACAUCUAGAUACAAAUUAGCAAAACUAUCUUCAAGUUACUGAUCCUCCACCAGGUUCUAAAUUAUUGCUUCUGCAGCCUCCCAAUCCUUGACGCAAGAGAUCAUCUCCACCAUCUCAGAGCUCAAUCGACGCCGCCUCUCCUCUUCGCGGCCACCGGCAAGAGUCCUCCACACGCC
rnacentral:lncRNA from 1 species